GGCUCGGUGGCGUAAUGGUAUCGCACUCCGUGAUCUAAUGGAUUUUUAUAUCGAUUGACGGAAAGUCCGGAGUUUGAUUCUCCGUCGAGCCA